rnacentral:rRNA from 1 species
AGAGUUUGAUCCUGGCUCAGGACGAACGCUGGCGGCGUGCCUAAUACAUGCAAGUCGAACGCUUCUUUUCCCACCGGAGCUUGCUCCACCGGGGAAAGAGGAGUGGCGAACGGGUGAGUAACACGUGGGUAACCUGCCCAUCAGAAGGGGAUAACACUUGGAAACAGGUGCUAAUACCGUAUAACAAUCGAAACCGCAUGGUUUCGUUUUGAAAGGCGCUUUACGGUGCCGCUGAUGGAUGGACCCGCGGUGCAUUAGCUAGUUGGUGAGGUAACGGCUCACCAAGGCCACGAUGCAUAGCCGACCUGAGAGGGUGAUCGGCCACAUUGGGACUGAGACACGGCCCAAACUCCUACGGGAGGCAGCAGUAGGGAAUCUUCGGCAAUGGACGAAAGUCUGACCGAGCAACGCCGCGUGAGUGAAGAAGGUUUUCGGAUCGUAAAACUCUGUUGUUAGAGAAGAACAAGGGUGAGAGUAACUGUUCACCCCUUGACGGUAUCUAACCAGAAAGCCACGGCUAACUACGUGCCAGCAGCCGCGGUAAUACGUAGGUGGCAAGCGUUGUCCGGAUUUAUUGGGCGUAAAGCGAGCGCAGGCGGUUUCUUAAGUCUGAUGUGAAAGCCCCCGGCUCAACCGGGGAGGGUCAUUGGAAACUGGGAGACUUGAGUGCAGAAGAGGAGAGUGGAAUUCCAUGUGUAGCGGUGAAAUGCGUAGAUAUAUGGAGGAACACCAGUGGCGAAGGCGGCUCUCUGGUCUGUAACUGACGCUGAGGCUCGAAAGCGUGGGGAGCAAACAGGAUUAGAUACCCUGGUAGUCCACGCCGUAAACGAUGAGUGCUAAGUGUUGGAGGGUUUCCGCCCUUCAGUGCUGCAGCUAACGCAUUAAGCACUCCGCCUGGGGAGUACGACCGCAAGGUUGAAACUCAAAGGAAUUGACGGGGGCCCGCACAAGCGGUGGAGCAUGUGGUUUAAUUCGAAGCAACGCGAAGAACCUUACCAGGUCUUGACAUCCUUUGACCACUCUAGAGAUAGAGCUUCCCCUUCGGGGGCAAAGUGACAGGUGGUGCAUGGUUGUCGUCAGCUCGUGUCGUGAGAUGUUGGGUUAAGUCCCGCAACGAGCGCAACCCUUAUUGUUAGUUGCCAUCAUUUAGUUGGGCACUCUAGCAAGACUGCCGGUGACAAACCGGAGGAAGGUGGGGAUGACGUCAAAUCAUCAUGCCCCUUAUGACCUGGGCUACACACGUGCUACAAUGGGAAGUACAACGAGUCGCGAAGUCGCGAGGCUAAGCUAAUCUCUUAAAGCUUCUCUCAGUUCGGAUUGUAGGCUGCAACUCGCCUACAUGAAGCCGGAAUCGCUAGUAAUCGCGGAUCAGCACGCCGCGGUGAAUACGUUCCCGGGCCUUGUACACACCGCCCGUCACACCACGAGAGUUUGUAACACCCGAAGUCGGUGAGGUAACCUUUUUGGAGCCAGCCGCCUAAGGUGGGAUAGAUGAUUGGGGUGAAGUCGUAACAAGGUAACC